rnacentral:lncRNA from 1 species
CAGGAGGAGAGGUCUCUGGGGCCAAGAGAGCCUGGGGCACUGUGUUUACAGCAGCCUUGGAGCCCGAGGCACUAAGAAUAGCUGGGGCCUUGCCCCUGAACCCACUCCACCUGGCUGCCGGGCAGGUGGCGGGACAGGAAUAAGCCCCAGGGCGGUGGGCAGGGAGCCCCCACCUCUGGAGGGGGUUACCUUCCAGUUGUGGCCGCUGUCUGGACAGUGGGAGACCAGAGUUUGUUUCGUGCCCCAACCAAGGCGAGUCCUGCAGAUGCACCCCCACCACCACCACCACCUCCGACCCCAGCAAGUCAGGGGACCGUGAGCUGCCAGCCUCCCUGGAAAACGGAGCCAGAGACAGAAGCUGCUUAUCGGGCAGCGCGAUGCCAAGAAGCCGAGGUGAGGAAUAAAGGAGGGAGGGAGAGAAAAGGAAAGUGGUAGGUGAGUUACUGAACCAGCCACAGCUUUAGGACAAAAUGAUUUGUUCAAUCUCUUUCUCUCUCUCUCUCUUUUUUUUUUUUUUUUUUUUUUUUUUUUUUUUUUUUAUGUCUUUUUGCUAUUUCUUUGGGCCGCUCCCGCGGCAUAUGGAGGUUCCCAGGCCAGGGGUUCAAUCGGAGCUGUAGCCACCGGCCUACGCCAGAGCCACAGCAACGCGGGAUCCGAGUCGCGUCUGCAACAUACACCACAGAUCAAGGCAACGCGGGAUCGUUAACCCACUGAGCAAGGGCAGGGAUCGAACCCACAACCUUAUGGUUCCUAGUCGGAUUCGUUAACCACUGCGCCACGACGGGAACUCCCCUGCUCAUUUUCUUAUUGAGGAUCCUUUCCAUGUGCUGAGUAGCAUCUCUCUGGCUGUUUUCAAGAUUCUCUUGGGAUUCUGACACUUUCAUUAUGAUGUAUCUUGUUGUGGGUCUCUCAGUUCAUCUUCCUUGGCAUUUGUUGAGCUUCAUGGAUGUUUAUGUUUUUCAUACAACUUGGUAACUUUGACCAUUAUUUCUUUAAAUGUUCUCUCUGCCUCCUCUGGGAUUCCCACAAUGCGUACAUUUAUCUGCUUGACAGUGUCC